rnacentral:misc_RNA from 1 species
AAAGUCGUAACAAGGUUUCCGUAGGUGAACCUGCGGAAGGAUCAUUACAAAUCCACGGGGUGUGAGGAGAGAGAGAGAGAGAAGCGGGGGAGGCACACUACUAGUCAUAACGGCUGGUGUGUGUGACCUUUCCUCUCUUCCUCUCUCCUCCUCCAUCCUUUCCACACAAAACCCGUUUUAACGUUCAUGAGUGUGUGUGAGUGUCGUCAAGGGAGGGAAAGGGGAAAGAGAGAGAAAUCAUUCUCUUUCCACCCCCGCCCCCCUCUUGUGCCCUCACUCCACUCUUUACAACAAACCCCCUAGUGUGAUCUCGUUGCUUCAGCUGUUAACUGUCGUCGUCGUCGUCAUCAUCUUUUUGUUGACAACACACGCACACACACACACAACUACGAAACAACUUAUAACAAUGGAUCUCUAGGCUCUU